rnacentral:rRNA from 1 species
UGAACGCUGGCGGCGUGCAUAACACAUCAAGUCGAACGAAGCACUUGACGGAAGCCUUCGGGUGGAAGUUGAUUGACUUAGUGGCGGACGGGUGAGUAACGCGUGAGCAACCUUCCUGUUUGUGAGGGAUAACACAGGGAAACUUGUGCUAAUACCGCAUGACGCAUAUUUGCCGCAUGACAGGUAUGCCAAAGAUUAAUUGCAGACAGAUGGGCUCGCGUCUGAUUAGAUAGUAGGUGAGGUAACGGCCCACCUAGUCGACGAUCAGUAGCCGGACUGAGAGGUUGAACGGCCACAUUGGAACUGAGAGACGGUCCAGACUCCUACGGGAGGCAGCAGUGGGGAAUAUUGGGCAAUGGGCGAAAGCCUGACCCAAGCGACGCCGCGUGAGGGAAGAAGGUCUUCGGAUUGUAAACCUCUUUCAGCAAGGAAGAAGAAAGUGACGGUACUUGCAGAAGAAGCCACGGCUAACUACGUGCCAGCCGCAGC